AUUGAACGCUGGCGGCAUGCCUUACACAUGCAAGUCGAACGGUAACAGGUCUUCGGAUGCUGACGAGUGGCGAACGGGUGAGUAAUACAUCGGAACGUACCCGAUCGUGGGGGAUAACGAAGCGAAAGCUUUGCUAAUACCGCAUAAGAUCUACGGAUGAAAGCAGGGGACCGCAAGGCCUUGCGCGAACGGAGCGGCCGAUGGCAGAUUAGGUAGUUGGUGGGAUAAAAGCUUACCAAGCCGACGAUCUGUAGCUGGUCUGAGAGGACGACCAGCCACACUGGGACUGAGACACGGCCCAGACUCCUACGGGAGGCAGCAGUGGGGAAUUUUGGACAAUGGGCGAAAGCCUGAUCCAGCCAUGCCGCGUGCAGGAUGAAGGCCUUCGGGUUGUAAACUGCUUUUGUACGGAACGAAGAGACUCUUUCUAAUAAAGAGGGUCCAUGACGGUACCGUAAGAAUAAGCACCGGCUAACUACGUGCCAGCAGCCGCAGUAA
rnacentral:rRNA from 1 species